rnacentral:lncRNA from 1 species
AAAAGAAUCUGGCUGUAUCAACCCCGUAUCCAAUUGUGACACCCCAAUAGUUCCACAUCGGAUAGUUAUGCCUAGAUGUAGGAAUAUAAAAGCUUAAUUGGGUUAGACAUAAUAAUUGGGCUUAAUCAUUUUGGGCUGGUUGUUUAGGCCCAACGAGUUAUUAUUGAUAGCAGGUCGGGUCGUUACAUUUGGUAUCAGAGCCAGUUCACCAGCCGAAAGUGUGAGAUGAGUCUUGGUUGAGUCAGGGUUGGAAUGACAGACUAAACCAGGGUCGGUGAUUGACAGGCUAAGUUAGAGUCGGAAUGACAAAGGCUAGCGAGACAAGUCUCACAUCGCCUGGUGAUCUUGGGCUGUGUGUGUGUUUAGGGCUGACGAGGACGCCAGGGCCUAAAUAGGGGGAGUCUGUGACACCUCUAGAAUCUCACAUCGUCUGGUAAUUCUGAUCCUAGUCUAUCUAUCUGUGAUCUGGUUUGGACCCGACGAGGACGUCAGGGUCUAAACAGGCAGAGUUUGUAACGCCUUUAACUGGGCUUAAACAUUUUGGGCCGGUGGUUGGGCCCAACGAGUUAUUAUUGUUAGUAGGUCGAGUCGUUACAUUUGGUAUCUGAGCUAGUUCACCAACCGGAAGUGUGAGGUGAGUCUUGGCUGAGCUAGGGUCGGAAUGACAGAUUAACCAGGGUCAGUGAUUGACAGGCUAAGUCAGAGUCAGAAUGACAAAGGCUAGCGAGACAAGUCUAACAUCGUCUGGUGAUUUUGGGCUGUAUGUGUGUUUAGGGCUGACGAGUACGUUAGGGCCUAAAUGGGGGGAGUUUGUGACACCCCAAUAGUCCCACAUCGGAUAGUUAUGACUAGAUGUAAGAAUAUAUAAGCUUAAUUGGGCUAGAUAUAAUAACAGUGCUUAAGCAUUUUGGGUUGGUGGUUUAGGCUCAACGAAUUAUUAUUGCUAGCGGGUCGGGUCGUUACACCAACACCCGUAUCUCUCCCGUAUCCAAGCUGUAUUUGGAAUUUUUUUUUUUUUUUUCAGAAAUGCCGGAUACUUCAUUCCUGUAUCGGACACGUAUCGGGCGUGUAUCGGGUACAUAUCGGUAUCCGACAUGUAUCCGAUACAGGUACAACAUGAAAGUUGAAGUAUCUGUGCUUCAUAGAUGUUAUCGCUUACCCCUUAACGAAGUUUGACGGGAAACUGACGGAGGGGGUAACCUGACUGAAAUAUCAGAGUUAAGGGUGUUAGAUGUUUCAUUUUAGAAGUUUGGGGAGUAAAAUUCUGCCAAAAGUUUAAGGGGCAACAAUGCAAUUUACCCGUUUGGUUGAACCAAGAAACUUUGAUUUCAGUUAUAAUGUGCCUAAGGAAGGCAGAGAAUUUCAUUCUAAAAUAAAUUUGUGAUUAAAUCAACUUGUAGGACUAGGAUCUAACAUUAGAAAUUUUUUAAGUUGUACUGAUAUAUUAUUAUAUUUUUGUUUCAACAAUAAAUGGUGAAUAUUUUUUAUAACUAAUCUUAUCAAUUUUUAUAAUUAUAAAAAUAAAUUUUUUUUUAAAUAAUUAUAAAAAUAGACCUUUAAAUGCGGUGAAUGAUUCACCGCAUUCAUAACUUCUGUUUAGGAGUAGAAAAACAGUAAAAGCGGUGAACCAUUCACCGCUUUUACCAUCAUAGAAUUAUAAAAAGAAAUGAGAAAAAGAAAGAAAGCGGUGAAUGGUUCACCGCUUUUAAAAGCGGUGAACCAUUCACCGCUUUUAUAGGACUAUAUCUACAAAUAAAAAUUUAACAGGUUUAUUUUUAAAAUAAAAUUUUAGAAGAGGACUAUUGCACUAAAAACCCCUUUUAGAACAGCACCUCAUAUACAAUAUGCAGUCCAAUCUAUAAUUUUCUCCAAACAUACCUGUUACNUAAUCUUAUCAAUUUUUAUAAUUAUAAAAAUAAUUUUUUUAAAAAAAUAAUUAUAAAAAUAGACUUUUAAAUGCGGUGAAUGAUUCACCGCAUUCAUAA